CCUACGGGUGGCAGCAGUGGGGGAUAUUGCACAAUGGGGGAAACCCUGAUGCAGCGACGCCGCGUGUGGGAAGACGGUCUUCUGGAUUGUAAACCACUGUCCCCAGGGACGAAAAUGACGGUACCUGGGGAGGAAGCUCCGGCUAACUACGUGCCAGCAGCCGCGGUAAUACGUAGGGAGCAAGCGUUGUCCGGAAUUACUGGGUGAAAAGGGAGCGUAGGCGGGGAUGCAAGUUGGGUGUCAAAACUACCGGCUCAACCGAUAGUCGCACUCAAAACUGCAACUCUUGAGUGAAGUAGAGGCAGGGGGAAUUCCGAGUGUAGCGGUGAAAGGCGUAGAUAUUAGGGGGAACACCAGUGGCGAAGGCGGCCUGCUGGGCUUUUACUGACGCUGAGGCUCGAAAGUGUGGGGAGCAAACAGGAUUAGAUACCCCAGUAGUC
rnacentral:rRNA from 1 species